UACGUAGGGGGCUAGCGUUGUCCGGAAUCAUUGGGCGUAAAGCGCGCGUAGGCGGCCCGGUAAGUCCGUUGUGAAAGUCAAAGGCUCAACCUUUGAAAGCCGAUGGAUACUGCCGGGCUAGAGUCCGGAAGAGGCGAGUGGAAUUCCUGGUGUAGCGGUGGAAUGCGCAGAUAUUCGCAAGAACACCAGUGGUGAAGGCGGCUCACUGGCCCGUAACUGACGCUGAGGCACGAAAGCGUGGGGAGCAAACAGG
rnacentral:rRNA from 1 species